GUCCACGCUGUAAACUAUGGAUACUAGCUGUUGGGGGUAUCGACCCCUCCAGUAGCGAAGCUAACGCGUUAAGUAUCCCCGCCUGUGGAGUACGGCCGCAAGGCUAAAAACAUAAAAGGAAUUGACGGGGACCCGCACAAGCGGUGGAUCAUGUUCUUUAAUUCGAUGAUAAACGAAGAACCUUACCAGGGUUUGACAUCCUUGGAAUCCUAUCGAAAGAUGGGAUGCUUUAUGAACCAAGUGACAGAUGAUGCAUGGCCGUCGU
rnacentral:rRNA from 1 species